rnacentral:rRNA from 1 species
ACGGGUGAGUAACACGUAUGGAACCUGCCCUAUGCAGGGGGAUAAGCGGAAGAAAUUCCGUCUAAUACCGCAUAACACCAUUUGGAGACAUCUCCAGGGGGUCAAAGGAGGCGACUCCGGCAUAGGAUGGCCAUGCGUCGCAUUAGCUAGUCGGCGGGUAACGGCCCACCGAGGCGACGAUGCGUAGGGGUUCUGAGAGGAAGGUCCCCCACACUGGUACUGAGACACGGACCAGACUCCUACGGGAGGCAGCAG